AUCCAUCUGACGAGUCCCAAAUAGGACGAAACUCGCGUUCUGGAU
rnacentral:hammerhead_ribozyme from 1 species